GACGAACGCUGGCGGCGUGCUUAACACAUGCAAGUCGAACGCUGAACCCGCUUCGGUGGGGGAUGAGUGGCGAACGGGUGAGUAACACGUGGGCAACCUGCCCCCGGCUCUGGGAUAACUCCAAGAAAUUGGGGCUAAUACCGGAUGUGACCGCUGGCCGCAUGGUCUGGUGGUGGAAAGGGUUUCCGGCUGGGGAUGGGCCCGCGGCCUAUCAGCUUGUUGGUGGGGUAGUGGCCUACCAAGGCGACGACGGGUAGCCGGCCUGGGAGGGUGACCGGCCACACUGGGACUGAGACACGGCCCAGACUGCUACGGGAGGCAGCAGUGGGGAAUAUUGCGCAAUGGGCGGAAGCCUGACGCAGCGACGCCGCGUGGGGGAUGACGGCCUUCGGGUUGUAAACCUCUUUCAGCAGGGACGAAGCGCAAGUGACGGUACCUGCAGAAGAAGCACCGGCCAACUACGUG
rnacentral:rRNA from 1 species